rnacentral:lncRNA from 1 species
AUAGAAUUAGUAGGAAGGGAGGAGGAUAGGAUAUCAUUAACUGAAUCCUAUAUACAACAAAAAACAUGAAAAAAUUGAACGCAGCAAAUGGCCUCCAUGAGUUCUCUUAAUAGGGAGGAACAAGAUGUCCUUGAAUGGGGUGGGGAUCCUUCUGGUGAGUUUACGGUUAAGUCUGCGUACAAAUGCUUGGAAAACCAUGCGCCAAUUUGGCCCGAGGGCUUCUUCAAACAGUUGUGGCAGGUCAAAGCAUUCCCCAAUGCUCUGACCACUGCAUGGAGGGUCUUGCUGGACAAAAUGCCAACUCGUAGUAGUUUGAGUAGAAGAGGAGUGUUAGUUGGAACCACGAGAUGCCCGUUAUGCCAAGGUUCGGUAGAAACCUCUCACCACCUUUUUUUGGAAAGCAUAGUAGCACAACAGGUGUGGUUUUUGUGUCUUAGGUGGAUGGGGAUUUUGUUUGUCCAACAUAAGGACUUGAAGGUUCACUUUGAAAACUUUCACCUGGUACACUUGAACACAAAGCAAAACCUUGUGUGGAAAGGUUUGUGGGUGACAGCUGUGAGAGGAAUAUGGGAACAAAGAAACCUAGUCAUUUUCAAGCAGGGGAAGCCUGAUGCGGAAGAGAUCUUUCACCGGGCACAACUCAACUCUUGGCUUUGGUUGAAAAACAGAGUACACAAUUUUAACUUCUCAUUCUCAGAUUGGAUCUUAAACCCUGAGCUAUGUGUUAAGAGUUAUAGAUGAAGCACUCUGCUGUCAAGAGGCAAUCCCUGGAUCUGUGGUAGAUGCUCGGUUACAGGCAUGGAGUGUGGAGUUUGUUUGUUUUCAAGGUGGUGUUGUUGAGGAAGCUUAGAGGCUUGUUUUAUCAAAGUGCGGUUCUGCCAUUGUAAGGAGGGGUGAAGGUAUAGGUGACAGGCAGGUUCCCCUUGGCUUGGUUGAGCUGGUGGUUACUGUACCGGUCCUGGUCAUCAUGGCUUGUGAUUUUGCAAUAGCUCUUGUAUGAACUUUGGAGGUAUCGGCAUUGUUGAUAUGCUGGUUCUGCUAUAAAAACACUGCACUUGGUUUUAUUUUUUUGGUUUGAGGCAUAUGCUGUUUUCUAUGGUCAAGCUGCUGACAAUGUUUGGUAGAUGCAUGGUGGUAUGUAGUGAUUCAGGAAGCAAAUGCAGCAAGGUCCGGGGAUCUUUUAGUCUUUGCUCUCCAUGGUUAUGUUGUGCUGGCCACACCUAGUUGUUAGCAUGUUUUCUCUAGUAGUUUUCCCUCGCCACCAGGCUUUUGUUUUGUUUUGUGCUGGUUUUAUGCAGAUUCAGGUUUUGGGACUGAGUAUCUUUAACUAGUUUUAAGGUUUUGAGUUAAGUGGUGUGUCGCUUAACUUUGCUCUAAUUGUUGAAUGCUUAAUUAGGAGUCUUUAUGUAUAAGGGUUGAAACACUCCUAAAGUGUUUCUUUUAAAUUCUAUUAAUUCAUUGCUGAUUAAAAAAAAAAAAUGGCCUUAUGAACAACUAUGAUAGAACACCAAAGAUAGCUCUAGCCAAUAACCAGUAUACAGGAAAAGAGACACCUUUUUUUGGGGUUAAGGAGUGCGUGGACAAGAUACAAGA